UACGUAGGGGGCAAGCGUUGUCCGGAAUCAUUGGGCGUAAAGCGCGCGUAGGCGGCCAGAUAAGUCCGGUGUGAAAGUCAAAGGCUCAACCUUUGAAUGCCGCUGGAAACUGUCUGGCUAGAGUCCGGGAGGGGCGAGUGGAAUUCCUGGUGUAGCGGUGAAAUGCGCAGAUAUCAGGAGGAACACCAAUGGCGAAGGCAGCUCGCUGGAACGGUACUGACGCUGAGGCGCGAAAGCGUGGGGAGCGAACAGG
rnacentral:rRNA from 1 species